GAUGAACGCUGGCGGCGUGCAUAACACAUUCAAGUCGAACGGUGACGGGGCUUCGGCCCCUGAUCAGUGGCGGACGGGUGAGUAACGCGUGAGCAACCUGCCCUUCUGUUCGGGAUAACGACCGGAAACAGUCGCUAAUACCGAAUAACAUAGUCUGAUUGCAUGGGUGGGAUAUCAAAGAUUUAUUGCAUAAGGAUGGGCUCGCGACCCAUUAGAUAGUUGGUGAGGUAACGGCUCCCCAAGUCGACGAUGGGUAGCCGGACAGAGAGGUUGGACGGCCACAUUGGAACUGAGAUACGGUCCAGACUCCUACGGGAGGCAGCAGUGGGGAAUAUUGGGCAAUGGGGGAAACCCUGACCCAGCGACGCCGCGUGCGGGAAGAAGGUCUUCGGAUUGUAAACCGCUUUUAUUAGGGAAGAAGUAUGACGGUACCUAAUGAAUAAGCCACGGCUAACUCCGUGCCAGCCGCCGCAGUAAGAC
rnacentral:rRNA from 1 species